UUCACAAAGAAUUGGAAAGCAGAAGAGGAAGAUCUAGAAAUUUGCAUACCUAGAGGAACUCGCCUUCUUGAUGCCCCUUGCUUACAGAAGGUCGACAUCGACUGAGUACGAGCGGCCGUAGGUCACAAGGGGGCGUGGAACUGCUGCAGCCCAUCUGUGACAGAGCAGACUCCUGCGAAUUUGCCCAGCUAGGUACAUCCUCUACAUGGUAGCAACUUGAAGAAAAUUCUUCCUUUUUGCUUCCAUGACCUGAUAUCCUCCUCACUGAUGUAUCGAGGAGCCGUGACCCGGCCUCACAGGAAGGGCCAGGGCGAAGACGUAUCCCCGACGGCCAAGACACGGCCACGGUGGUGAUUUUUGAUGGUGAGACAGAGCAGACUCGAGCGACUUUGCCCAGCCAGGAGCACAUAAAAGAUAAUCAGCGUUUAUUCGCUAGCUGGAAUUAAAGGCAACGGCGAGAGAGCAAGAUCAAGGACAACUUCAAAAUUUAAGAAUAUAUGCAAGAAAUGGACGUGAAGCAACAUUUAUAACCAAUCUCCGGACAGUAUUAUACCUGAUUCCGUCGAGUAGACGUUAUCAACAAUUUCAGCUACGGGUAUGAUGCUCGCAUUGUGUUCUGCAUCACUUCUCCCGCGUGUAAGACCUGGAAGACAUUAUGCAUACUGUCAUAUAUUCAGGUCUCGCAACUAAACGAAAACAUGGUAGAGUGCAUCAUACCUGUAGUUACGUCAUCUUCAGGUUGAUGUUCGCCAACCGUGCUUUUUGAAUUCCCCAUAUGCAACUAUUGAAUGGCAAAAAUCAUGAAGACAGAAAUGGUAGUUAUUUGAUGACAUUCUGGAAGGGUUAUUGUUCUACAUAUAUACUGCAACCUGUUGCUAGCAUAUACUGCAAUUGUAUUUUAUUCUACAUAAAUACUGCAAUGGCACUUUCAUCUA